rnacentral:tRNA from 2 species
GGGCCGUUAGCUCAAUUGGUCAGAGCAGUCGACUCAUAAUCGAUUGGUAGCUGGUUCGAAUCCAGCACGGCCCACCA